UCCAGACAGACCUUGAACUCACACCUCUGUUUCUCAUGUACUGAUAUUACGAGCAUGUGGCACCACACCUGUGCCCCCCCAAUAUCACCGCACCUGAAACAGACACACUAGAAAGUCCACAAAGCCCCAGAGCUGGGUGGGGUCACUUCCGUCAGGACAAUGAAGAGUCCUGGGAAAACCAUCUCAGGUAGUUUCCCAGUGAGAAAUGGGAAGGUGGACCUGCUGGCGGCUGCCAGUUCUUGUGUGAAGGAGAUUUCGGGUCCCUCACCCGGACACUGGGCUGACUGGUUCCUACUAUCUGAAAGGAAGUAGGAACAGGCCUCUAAAUGACCACCCAGAAAAGGCCCAGGCAUGUUUACACGAACACCCUCCCCUCUCCAGGCUACCUUGCUAUGUUUCCACAAAAGCUCAGGAGCCAAACUGCACACUGCAGGUAAACAGUGGGGAGCCUGGGACCCAGCUCUGCCUUGCCAGAGCUGUGAGUAAGGGGUUUCUAGGCGAUGGAUAAAGCGAAAUGCCCCUUCCAAGGACAAGGCUGUAGGAACCCAGGUGUCCCCACCCUGUCCCACUCCGCCCGUUUCCCAAAUCAGCAAACACGGAAUAGAGAUAAAGCAGUAGAUAGUAGGGGAAUUUGUGUCCCUUUGGGCUGUCGUGCCUGGCCCCAAGCCCAGGCAGGAGACUUGGUUUCUGCCCUAGAACAAGGAAGGUCCAUUCCUCUUUUAGAACCCAACAAACUGGUUUCUCUUGACCCUCAAGCCUUCAGUCUGGGUAUUUCACUGACCCCUUGACUCAAGUGGGUGGUCCUGCCAGAGAGGUUCCAGAAGCUGCAGGACCCCUUGGGACUUACUGAAAUGCCACCUGGUGCAGACCCCACUCUAGCUGAAGAGCCGGAAGCCUUGACUCAGCAUGGCGGCACAUUCUUCAGGGGUAGCAAAAGGCAGCAGGUCACCGAGAGCCGAGAAUCAGGCCAGAGUCCCCAGUCCUACUCCCUGAUCCUGUGACCUCUCCCAGAACUCUGGGUCCGGAACAUGUCUCACGUAGCUCGUAUGUCCCUCCAGCCCAGCCUGUCCCAGGGUGCCUCUCUUCACAACCCUUCACCUCAGCACUUCUGAGUCAGGGCGCCCCACCCUCAAGGUCUCCCACACCAGCAAGUUGAGCCAGAUCAAAGCAGAAAUGGCUCAAAUACCCAUGCUCAACAGGGUGGGUGCUGUAGGAACCAAUCCGGGUGAGGAGGGACCAGAAGGAGCAGGAAAGCCUAUGCAGCAUGAACUCAGGCCCCUUCCUCCAUAGCUCCAGUGGGAGCCCCAUGAGCUCUCUGCAGCAGCUGUGCAUGUCUCCUCCAUCCAGGAGGGGCCGGUGCCACCCCACACACCCCAGGCCGGCAGAAGAGAAGUUUAUCCGGUGUCAGAUACCCAGCCCUGUCCAAGCUUCAGGGCCGCCUGCUUGACCCUCAGCCUAGUCCUCCCUUGGAGGUCCUGGUGCCACCCUGCCUCCCCUCCCUGAGCAAACAGGAGGAGCUCACCCUAUCCAGCAGCAAAAGCCAGAGAGCCCUGUUCCGUCAGGACCAGAGCUGGGUCAGCGACUGCCCAGGAAAACAGCCCCGCCUCAGCUCACAGGAACCGUGAAGAGAAUGGCCGACACGGUCUGGCCGCGGCAGCCUGAGCAAUGAUGACUGCCCGAUGUGCAGGGUGACUUCGCAAACAGAGGUCACUUUCUGCUUACAGAUGACUAGGAAAACUCCCAGGUUGCGUAGGCAGUAGUCCUGGACUCACUGCUGUGUGACCGUGAGGAAAGUACCUUCCCGUCUCUGGUCCUCAUGGGCACCCACCCCUCUUUGGACAUAGUCACAAACUAUGUGUAACUCCUCACUUCCUAACAUUUCCAUUUAUUUGUAAAGAAGAACUCUCUCUUUUUUCCUUUGGUUUUUCAAGACAAAGUUUCUCUGUGUAAUAGUCCUACACGUCCUGGAACUCCCGUUGUAGACCAUGCAGGCUUCGAACUCAGAGACCUGUCUGCCUCUGCCUUCCAAGUGUUGGGAUUAAAGAUGUGUGCAACCACCA